UUAAGUUAUUAAGGGCGCACGGUGGAUGCCUUGGCACUAGAAGCCGAUGAAGGACGUUACUAACGACGAUAUGCUUUGGGGAGCUGUAAGUAAGCUUUGAUCCAGAGAUUUCCGAAUGGGGAAACCCAGCAUGAGUUAUGUCAUGUUAUCGAUAUGUGAAUACAUAGCAUAUCAGAAGGCACACCCGGAGAACUGAAACAUCUUAGUACCCGGAGGAAGAGAAAGAAAAUUCGAUUCCCUUAGUAGCGGCGAGCGAAACGGGAAGAGCCCAAACCAACAAGCUUGCUUGUUGGGGUUGUAGGACACUCUAUACGGAGUUACAAAGGACGACAUUAGACGAAUCAUCUGGAAAGAUGAAUCAAAGAAGGUAAUAAUCCUGUAGUCGAAAAUGUUGUCUCUCUUGAGUGGAUCCUGAGUACGACGGAGCACGUGAAAUUCCGUCGGAAUCUGGGAGGACCAUCUCCUAAGGCUAAAUACUCUCUAGUGACCGAUAGUGAACCAGUACCGUGAGGGAAAGGUGAAAAGCACCCCGGAAGGGGAGUGAAAUAGAACCUGAAACCGUGUGCUUACAAGUAGUCAGAGCCCGUUAAUGGGUGAUGGCGUGCCUUUUGUAGAAUGAACCGGCGAGUUACGAUUUGAUGCAAGGUUAAGCAGUAAAUGUGGAGCCGUAGCGAAAGCGAGUCUGAAUAGGGCGUUUAGUAUUUGGUCGUAGACCCGAAACCAGGUGAUCUACCCUUGGUCAGGUUGAAGUUCAGGUAACACUGAAUGGAGGACCGAACCGACUUACGUUGAAAAGUGAGCGGAUGAACUGAGGGUAGCGGAGAAAUUCCAAUCGAACCUGGAGAUAGCUGGUUCUCUCCGAAAUAGCUUUAGGGCUAGCCUCAAGUGAUGAUUAUUGGAGGUAGAGCACUGUUUGGACGAGGGGCCCCUCUCGGGUUACCGAAUUCAGACAAACUCCGAAUGCCAAUUAAUUUAACUUGGGAGUCAGAACAUGGGUGAUAAGGUCCGUGUUCGAAAGGGAAACAGCCCAGACCACCAGCUAAGGUCCCAAAAUAUAUGUUAAGUGGAAAAGGAUGUGGCGUUGCCCAGACAACUAGGAUGUUGGCUUAGAAGCAGCCAUCAUUUAAAGAGUGCGUAAUAGCUCACUAGUCGAGUGACACUGCGCCGAAAAUGUACCGGGGCUAAACAUAUUACCGAAGCUGUGGAUUGUCCUUUGGACAAUGGUAGGAGAGCGUUCUAAGGGCGUUGAAGCAUGAUCGUAAGGACAUGUGGAGCGCUUAGAAGUGAGAAUGCCGGUGUGAGUAGCGAAAGACGGGUGAGAAUCCCGUCCACCGAUUGACUAAGGUUUCCAGAGGAAGGCUCGUCCGCUCUGGGUUAGUCGGGUCCUAAGCUGAGGCCGACAGGCGUAGGCGAUGGAUAACAGGUUGAUAUUCCUGUACCACCUAUAAUCGUUUUAAUCGAUGGGGGGACGCAGUAGGAUAGGCGAAGCGUGCGAUUGGAUUGCACGUCUAAGCAGUAAGGCUGAGUAUUAGGCAAAUCCGGUACUCGUUAAGGCUGAGCUGUGAUGGGGAGAAGACAUUGAGUCUUCGAGUCGUUGAUUUCACACUGCCGAGAAAAGCCUCUAGAUAGAAAAUAGGUGCCCGUACCGCAAACCGACACAGGUAGUCAAGAUGAGAAUUCUAAGGUGAGCGAGCGAACUCUCGUUAAGGAACUCGGCAAAAUGACCCCGUAACUUCGGGAGAAGGGGUGCUCUUUAGGGUUAACGCCCAGAAGAGCCGCAGUGAAUAGGCCCAAGCGACUGUUUAUCAAAAACACAGGUCUCUGCUAAACCGUAAGGUGAUGUAUAGGGGCUGACGCCUGCCCGGUGCUGGAAGGUUAAGAGGAGUGGUUAGCUUCUGCGAAGCUACGAAUCGAAGCCCCAGUAAACGGCGGCCGUAACUAUAACGGUCCUAAGGUAGCGAAAUUCCUUGUCGGGUAAGUUCCGACCCGCACGAAAGGCGUAACGAUUUGGGCACUGUCUCAACGAGAGACUCGGUGAAAUCAUAGUACCUGUGAAGAUGCAGGUUACCCGCGACAGGACGGAAAGACCCCGUGGAGCUUUACUGUAGCCUGAUAUUGAAAUUCGGCACAGCUUGUACAGGAUAGGUAGGAGCCUUUGAAACGUGAGCGCUAGCUUACGUGGAGGCGCUGGUGGGAUACUACCCUAGCUGUGUUGGCUUUCUAACCCGCACCACUUAUCGUGGUGGGAGACAGUGUCAAGCGGGCAGUUUGACUGGGGCGGUCGCCUCCUAAAAGGUAACGGAGGCGCUCAAAGGUUCCCUCAGAAUGGUUGGAAAUCAUUCAUAGAGUGUAAAGGCAUAAGGGAGCUUGACUGCGAGACCUACAAGUCGAGCAGGGUCGAAAGACGGACUUAGUGAUCCGGUGGUUCCGCAUGGAAGGGCCAUCGCUCAACGGAUAAAAGCUACCCCGGGGAUAACAGGCUUAUCUCCCCCAAGAGUUCACAUCGACGGGGAGGUUUGGCACCUCGAUGUCGGCUCAUCGCAUCCUGGGGCUGUAGUCGGUCCCAAGGGUUGGGCUGUUCGCCCAUUAAAGCGGUACGCGAGCUGGGUUCAGAACGUCGUGAGACAGUUCGGUCCCUAUCCGUCGUGGGCGUAGGAAA
rnacentral:rRNA from 1 species